AGUGAGAGUUUAGAAGCACCAUGGAUGACGAAUUUGAAGGUACCAGCUCUCAGAUGGUGAUCUUUUCCAAAAACGAUAGGACAGGUGUGGAGGAGAAAGAAGCAAGAGAAUGGGUUCCUAAGUCUGUGAGCUCAUCUGAAGAUGAUGGGACAGAUGACUGGAAACCCACACAGGAUGAAUCUGAAGGCUAUUCAGAAGAGGAGGAAGAACAAGAACGUAAAAGGAUUCCUAAGGUAGCCAUGAAAAAGAAAACUGGGUGUCCUGUGCCACAAAGAGAGAUGGCGGCAGCAUCUGAAGAGGAUGGGACACAUGAUAGCAGACCCACACAGGAUGAAUCUAAAGAUGAUUCAAAAGAUGAAGCAGAACAUUUGGGACAAAUGAUUCACAAAGUGGCCAUGGAAAAGAGGGCGUUUGUGAGCAGUGAGUUGCCGCAGAGGACAGAGGAACAGGAACAGGUUGCUGUCG
ensembl:lncRNA